UUUCCGUAGGUGAACCUGCGGAAGGAUCAUUACUAACGUAUCCACGUAUAAACCAAGACCAGUUGAAUUUUGUUCGAAAACAUAUUCGUCCGCUUGGCUGGGAAUGAGUUGAUUUGGAGAUGUUUCUAUCUAUAUGAGAGAAAAUGUACAUCUCUGGUUGACUUCGGGCCUUCACGGGCUUACCCUACCUAGUUCGCGAAUUAAAAUAUAUCAAAAACAUUAAACUCAUAUUUUAACCCAUUUCACCCUAUUCUUUUAAAUGAACUUAACCUGAAUUCAUUAGAAAUAAUGAGUUUGAAAAAAUACGAAAUUAAGAACAACUCUUAACAACGGAUAUCUUGGCUCUC
rnacentral:misc_RNA from 1 species